rnacentral:rRNA from 1 species
CCUACGGGUGGCUGCAGUGAGGAAUAUUGGUCAAUGGGCGCGAGCCUGAACCAGCUAAGUAGCGUGAAGGAUGACUGCCCUACGGGUUGUAAACUUCUUUUAUAAAGGAAUAAAGUGAGGCACGUGUGCCUAUUUGUAUGUACUUUAUGAAUAAGGAUAGGCUAACUCCGUGCCAGCAGCCGCGGUAAUACGGAGGAUCCGAGCGUUAUCCGGAUUUAUUGGGUUUAAAGGGAGCGUAGAUGGGUUGGUAAGUCAGUUGUGAAAGUUUGCGGCUCAACCGUAAAAUUGCAAUUGAUACUGGCAGUCUUGAGUACAGUUGAGGUAGGUGGAAUUCGUGGUGUAGCAGUGAAAUGCGUAGAUAUUACGAAGAACUCCGAUUGCGAAGGCAGCUUACUAAGCUGCCACUGACAUUGAUGCUCGAAAGUGUGGGUAUCAAACAGGAUUAGAUACCCUAGUAGUC